rnacentral:lncRNA from 1 species
AGAAAUUUCCUCUCCAAAAUUUUAAAACCUAAUUAAAUUCUUCCUUCUACUUAACAAACACUAAAAGUCACAUCUCAUCCCCAUCCCCCCUCUCCCUUCCUCUACGCCCCUUACCCUUUCUCUUCUCCGUUUUUAUUUGAUUUGAAAUUCUUAUAAAAUAUUGCUGAUUAAUUUAUUUUUGUAGGUUUUACAACGUGAACUUCUCCAAGUAGCAUAUAAGUAUUGCAUUGAAUUGUGAUGUAUUUUUAAAUUUUAAGGUAAUAUAUUUUUCUAUGUGAAUUUUAAAAGUGAUACUGAGAUUAAAAAUUUUCUGUUUAUGAACUUACACUAGAUAUAUUUUCGUUGUUGUAUUGAAAUUUAAAAGCAAUAUCUACAAGUUUUACGAAGUUGAAAACGUCUAAAGGUUUGUUUACUUAUUUGGUUGCUUUGUAUUUUUUUUUUUUUUUUAUUUUUUGUAAAAAAAUUACCUAAAGCAUAUACUUUUUCUCCUUGAAAUACUAUACAUAUACAUAAACAUGCAUAUAUAAUUGGUAUGUCUAGAUUUUCUUGAUGCUAAAUUACUUUACUAUAAUUGAUAGGCUGAAAUAAGAGCAUAUAAAUGGCAAAUUAGGAUGAAUGCUGAUCAAGUUGAGGUGCAAUUGAAGACUAAAAAAAGAGAGAGCAGGAGAUUGUGUUGCUUUGAACUCAAAUAAGAUGGUGUCUCAAAAGAAGUGUAUAGUGUG